rnacentral:rRNA from 1 species
CCUACGGGGGACAGCAGUGGGGAAUAUUGGGCAAUGGGCGCAAGCCUGACCCAGCAACGCCGCGUGAAGGAAGAAGGCUUUCGGGUUGUAAACUUCUUUUGUCAGGGAAGAGUAGAAGACGGUACCUGACGAAUAAGCCACGGCUAACUACGUGCCAGCAGCCGCGGUAAUACGUAGGUGGCAAGCGUUGUCCGGAUUUACUGGGUGUAGAGGGCGUGUAGCCGGGUUGACAAGUCAGAUGUGAAAUCCUGCGGCUUAACCGCAGAACUGCAUUUGAAACUGUUUUUCUUGAGUACCGGAGAGGUCAUCGGAAUUCCUUGUGUAGCGGUGAAAUGCGUAGAUAUAAGGAAGAACACCAGUGGCGAAGGCGGCCUGCUGGACGAUGACUGACGUUGAGGCUCGAAAGCGUGGGGAGCAAACAGGAUUAGAUACCCUAGUAGUC